rnacentral:rRNA from 1 species
CCUACGGGGGGCUGCAGUGGGGAAUAUUGCACAAUGGGGGGAACCCUGAUGCAGCGACGCCGCGUGAGUGAAGAAGUAUUUCGGUAUGUAAAGCCCUAUCAGCAGGGAAGAAAAUGACGGUACCUGACUAAGAAGCCCCGGCUAACUACGUGCCAGCAGCCGCGGUAAUACGUAGGGGGCAAGCGUUAUCCGGAUUUACUGGGUGUAAAGGGAGCGCAGACGGCGGUGCAAGUCAGGAGUGAAAGGCCGGGGCCCAACCCCCGGACUGCUCUUGAAACUGUAAAGCUGGAGUGCAGGAGGGGGAGGCGGAAUUCCUGGUGUAGCGGUGAAAUGCGUAGAUAUUAGGAGGAACACCAGUGGCGAAGGCGGCUUACUGGACUGCAACUGACGUUGAGGCUCGAAAGCGUGGGGAGCAAACAGGAUUAGAUACCCCAGUAGUC